UCGACCAUGGAGCAAUGUGACGGUAAUUUCGCUGGAAGUGUUAGGUAUGUUCCCGGUGGAGGAGGAAUCAGUGUCGAACAUUCGUUGUGUGUAGAAACCUGGUUGUUUAGGUUGAUCCAAAACUGAAUGCUCACUGUCCAACAUUACAACAACGUUGGACAUGGUAGGCCUGUCUUCGGGGCGUUGUUGCACGCACAACAGCCCUAUUGGAUACAUCGCAACACUGCCGCAGAUUCUCUGUUUCGAAUCGAUGCAUCUACAACUCCUAGGAUUUCCUUCUGUCCAUAAUUUCCAUGCCUGAAUUGAAAAGAAAAAAAGUGAUUUGUAUGAUAAGGCCAAACAGAACAUGAAGGAGUCAAUGUUUUGCAACUAACAUGUCCUAAAAAGUUGANAAUUAUAGAUCCGGACAAUUAUCCGAAAUGUAAUGCAUACAGGCAUUGGCGGAGCCAGAGGGGGGCAGUGGGGUCACUGUACACCCCUGGAAAUUUUUAAAAUUUAUAGGUGUAUUUUUGUUAUUUCACAUAUAUUAAUAAAAAGUAUAGUUUCUAUCCUAAUUUUUUUUUGAAGCAAGUUUCUAUCCUAAUUUUUAACAUGAAAUAAUAUAACAAUUUUUACAUGUGUAUAUUAUGAGUUCUUUCUAGUACUAUAUUCUUUAUUUUUUAUUUUUUGGUGUUUACACAGAAUUAGGUUCUAUUUUUUUUUUUUGUCAAUUAUGAGUUCUCUCUCAAAAUAUACUUAUAAAUGUUAUUGUAAUAAUGAAGCUAUUAUAGAGAGGCUCUACACCAUGAAAGAUAAGAAAGAAUAUUCAUGACAUUAUUACGAGUAUUGAGUUUUAUCAAAAACACAUCCUAAAAUUAAUAUUGAAGUGAUACAGAAACAUGUUGGACCUUAUUUUAUGAUUUUAUUAUAACUUUAUAAUUAUAUAAAACUCAUAAGAGUAUUUUUGUCUGAAUAAUAUCAUGUUGGGGUUCUUUUAUUACUUUGUACAAAUAUUUAACAGAUGUGAAGGUCUUUUUAUAAUUUUAUAUGAAUGUAAGGUAGGUUUGUAAUUAUCAUAAAAAUUGAUAUGGGGAGUUUGAACAGUUUUGAAAGUAUUUGAUAAUUUGUGGAUUUUUUAAAGUUCGUGGGAAAAAUGAAUUUUAAACAAAGUUCGUGAUAUUACACGCAAUUAACCCUUUUAAAAUUUGAAUUAACAACCAACACUAUUGCUAGCGACAGUGAUUGUGAAUUCAAGAUUUAAAACUUAAAUCCACCACCAACACUAGCGAUUCAGUUGUAAAUUCAUCGAAUUGAUUGUGAAUUGAAGAACAUUAAUAAGACAGGUUUACUUCAAUUUCUACGCAAUUAUAAAACUUUUCAAAUCUCCAAAUACUCAGCAUCAUUUUGGAAAAUCUACUUUUUUUCAAUUUAAGACUAGUUGAUUUCGUUUUCAAUUUACACUGGAAUAAGACUGCUCCAACGUUCAUGGUUGAAAAAAGCACAAAUAGAAUGAAUCAGUGAAACUUCUUUGUCUGCUCCCAUCGAAUGAACUUCCGCUGGUUCCAUGUAUGUUAUUGCGGCGUGAUGACUGGACUGGCAGGAGCUGAACGGAUUCCAAUCCCUCCAUAGCAGAUUGCUUAACGUGAUUCUUGUAGCUCUCCUUCCCUUCAACUCUAGGCGCUUCUGUCAACAACUACCCAAAGCGACGCCCUUUCUUUUUAAGUACAACACCAUUGAAGAGAACGGCGACGACGUCUCGUUGCCAACCUGCCCUACACCACAUCCGCCAUUGUGUGGUGUGGUGGAGUAAAUUUAGUUUUAUUCUUUUUUAACAAAAAAUGAUUAAUUUUUAAAUUUUUUAUCUUCGUAGACAUUUUUUUGUUUUUACUAUAUGAUAAUAAUGAAUAUUUUGAUACAUUGAGUCUAUCUAUUAUAUGCAUAAAAAAAAAAGUCUAUCGACCAUGGAGCAAUGUGACGGUAAUUUCGCUGGAAGUGUUAGGUAUGUUCCCGGUGGAGGAGGAAUCAGUGUCGAACAUUCGUUGUGUGUAGAAACCUGGUUGUUUAGGUUGAUCCAAAACUGAAUGCUCACUGUCCAACAUUACAACAACGUUGGACAUGGUAGGCCUGUCUUCGGGGCGUUGUUGCACGCACAACAGCCCUACUUGGAUACAUCGCAACACUGCCGCAGAUUCUCUGUUUCGAAUCGAUGCAUCU
rnacentral:lncRNA from 1 species